rnacentral:lncRNA from 10 species
ACCGAGGCAGCUCUCUGCCUCGAGGCUGGAGGGCAACGCGGUCUGAGGCAGCCAAAGACCGGGCCAACUCGCUGCCAAAAAGGGGCCGGAUUGCUUCCGGAUCUAGGAGGCAAGCGGGACUUCUCCCUCUCCCUACUGGACGCACAACUCAGGAUCCUGAUGGCUUCUUACCGCCCCGUCGGCUGUUUUUUUUCUCCAGAGGAAAGCGUACACAAGAAACCUUUCCUGGAGAAGGAAUAGGUGAUAAGAAGACGGGAAGAAACAAGCAUCUGUUGCUACUGUCCCCAUUUUGCUGAUGUGGAAACUGAGGCUUGAAAGGGACCAAGAACCUAAUGAAAUGUUCCCAAGGUUGAAAUGGUAAUAAAUAGCCAGAAAUGAGGAAAAGGCAAAAAGUUAUCCAGGCUCGCAAGUCAAAGCCAUACUGGAUCUAAGCUAAACUUUCUUAUACAGGAUAGUCUACAAAAAACAAUAAGGGGACAUUAAUUUAUUCAUAUUAAAAAUACUUACUGAAGACACACUACGUUCCAGUGACUAGUACUGGGAAUAAAGAGGCGAGCAAAAGAGACUUACCAAGUUCCUGUUGCUAAAUCAGUAAGACUCAAGGAAGUAGCAACAAGUUAGAGUAGACGUGGUAACUACCUUCAAGAAAUUUACAAUUCCAAACGAGUCGUUAGGAAAUACAGUAUGAGGUGAAAACAGUUAAAAAGUGAAAGAAAUAAAACUAAAGAUAAUGAUGUUAAAAAAAACCCCACAUUAUCAGGCACUGUUAUAGCCUUCAUAUGUCAUUUCAUCUUGUCAAAGAAUGUCUCAAAAGACAGCCACAGGAAAGAAAAGAAAAACUUUAUUUGCAAAGCUGCAAGGGAGUGAGACUUCCAAAAGGACUGAUUCACCAAAUAUGAGACAUCAAGUUUUAAAGAUUAGUUAAAGUAUAGAGGGAAGAAAAGAACACAGAAUUAAAUUGACUUUACAUGCACUGAAAGGGAAUCUAAGCCAAGGAAAGUUGGAAUGGUAGCCUGUAAGGGGACAGCUACAGAAAGGGCCAGGGAAGAAGAAUUCCUAAUUGAUGUUUUCCUAUGCCAUUUCCUGAGUUCGUGACUGUGGACGAGUUAUCUCUCCAAAUCUCAUUGUCCGCUUCUGUGAAAUGCUGGUAGCAGGGAUGACUGCAAAGGCUUGUGGUCAAGAUUAAAUAACAUAAGAAAGUGCUGCUAGGUCAGCAAGUACUCAACUGAUUGAGAUCUUGAAUUCUUCUGCAUUCUUUCUAGUUUCCUUUCAGGUUAAUCAGAGGGUCCACCAUACCACGGAGCUGGCGAAUCCUACAUGUGUUUCCCAUAACCAUUAAACCAAUAAAUACAAGUGAAGACAUAAAACUAAUGGUUCUAGUCCCAAUUCUGGUUGUAAACUCCAGAAUUAGAUUGUAAACUCCCUGAGAACAAGGAAAAGUAUUUUCUCCUUUGUAUCUCCCUCAGCUCUCUCAAAUGUUUGUUGAAUUAUUCAGUGCAGCCAAGAAUAAAAAACAUUCCCUUGAGAUUUUCCCUCAAAGCCAGAAAAGUACAUCUUGUUUUUAACUCGGGGAGGAGGCUGAAAGUAAAACUACAGUCCUAAACAAGAAGCCAUCUGUCUUCCUUCUUUAUAGUCAAGGAAAGGGGAGUUGUUUCUCUUUGCAGAGUCAAUAUGGGAGCAUUUCUCUCAGAUUAGAAAAAUCUUUUUGGCUAGUGCUGCCGUUCCGUGUAGUAGCUAGUGCUUAUUCUGUAAUUGGAACUGUAGAAGGAGAUAAAUGCGUAACAGACUGUGGCAGUGCUUCAUAAAAUGUAUUUUGCUUUUUUAGAGAUCUCUUUCCUAGACAUAGAUAAUGGGUGAAUAUAAUUGAAAGCAACUACAGUCCGUUGUGCUUGACUGAUCUGCACUCUGGUUUUCCCUUUAAGUGUUAAUAGAACUAAGAGUUCUAAGAUUCUGCAAGGUGCUUUGUAAAUACACCAAUUAUGUAUGUAUGCACCAUAUAUGCAUAUGAAUCUGAUGUUUCAAAAUUAUACUUCGUCAUUAGCAUGAGGGAAACUAACAGCUCUUGCAUUGAUAUGCUGUACCUUCUAAGAAUGAGUCUCUUUCCCAUCCCCCUCAUGCCCAAAAAAAGCCUCGUAAAAGGAGUGAUUUAGAGAGGGGCAAAUUACUAUUCCUUUUCACUCUUAUAAACAAGUACACACAGCAUUCAAUGAAAUUAAACCACAGCAAACUCAGAAAUCACAAAAGGGAUUUUUUUUUUCUUAAGCCAGUGAUCAGGGUACUUAUCUACUAUGGUGAGAUGUUACCAGGGCAAGCCCCUUCGUAGGGGCUUAGGUUGUUUUUCUUUUUCUUUUGGGAGAAAGGAGGUUUUUAGAAACUUAUGUAAAAACCAUCUGCGCUAACCAGGAUAAAAUUAUAAGGUCUAUCAAUCUUGGUGCUGCAGGGUAAAAUCGGAUCACCAGCUGAGCCAGCCAGAAAUGCUUCCCAGUGGUCUGGUAUUGCAUAAUUGGCUGUGUGAAUUCCAAGGGUUCCAGCUUCAGGUGGAGGUCUUGGUGCUGGUCACUCACUGAGGGAAAACAUUGAAUUAAUGGUCUUUCCAAUGAUUUUUAUGAAGCCUGACUUCUUGUUCACAUGAUUUCAGGUUUUGGGGUAACAGAAAUACAAAUGCGUCUCUACAUGUAUAUGUCUAUAACUGCUCAGAAUAGUCCUCUUAAUUUAAAAACCGUGGCAUUUGGUGCUGUGGCUGUGUUAUUUACAUUUUAGCACAUACUGUGCUCACAGUCACAUCCCACAAGAGCUUAUUUGCUUCAGCAGAGCCCUAGCUUCCAGAUUUGCCUCACAACCUCUUCCUCCUGAGCAUUCACAUAUCACCCCAGGGAGAUGCUCCAAAAGCCAAAACUAAUUGUAACCAAGGGCUGUAACUGUUCAUUCAUUGCCAGAGAGGCAAGAGCAGUCUCUAUUUGAGAAGGUAGAAAUGUAUCUCAGCCUCCCAGUUAAACCAGAAGUUAGAAAUCCACUUUACCUGAAGAGAGCUUUCCCUAACUCAGGCAUGCAACAGAAAAAGACAACAUUGUAUUCAGCAAGACUGGCAAUUCUUAAGUCCUUAGCUCUGCAACUUUGUUUCUGGUCACACUUGUAAGUUGAUGUUCCUCCAAUAUUUAUUAAUAACUCUGGCUUUUAUUUGUGGUUUCACUUGGAUUUUUGUUGCAAGAUCAAACAAUGUAUGAAUUCUCUUUAAAAUGCUUGUUAUAAACUUGUGUUUAGAGGGGUGUAUCUUCCUCCUACUACUUUUCUGAAUGACUUUUUUAAACAUUGUAGUCAUUCAAUUCAUUUAAUAAUUUUUAUAUUGACUGCUUUCUAUGAGCUAAGCAUGUUCGAUUUUGAUUAAGUAGCCUGUGCUCAUGCAUCAGUUCUCAGGGAUUUGAGCUGUUUCCAACAUAAAAUUAGUGUUGGUUUUUCAUUUUGGGAUGCUGGGAUGAGGAAGGAGAGGAAAUGGAAGCAGGGUGAUGAGUAUUAAUUUGAGAAGGAAAGAAGAAAUUUGUAAAGUAGGGAAAUCUAUUUAUUUAACAGUGCAUGUCUUGAGCCAUUAUAAUGAACCAAAUACCUAGCUGGGUGCCUGGGAUUCAAAGACGAAGUACACUCCUUGCCUUUAGAUCAUUCUUAAGGGGUGGAAAGAUAUUUAAACCAAGAACAGAGUAUAGUUUAAAUGUAAUGAAAGGGAAAAGUCCACAUACUAUAUAAGCGUAAAGGAGGUCCACAAAGAUUGAUUUUUUUUUUUUUAUUUAAAAAAUGCUGUUACAUUUUUUUCCCUAUUAACCCUUUCUUACUUCCACUAGACAAGUUCCCACUGUGUACCAAAAGCCUAGAAAACAGUUUGGUAUCCAGGAAUGUUUCAUAAAUAUUUAUUCAAUGAAUGAAUGAAUUUUGUCAAUGAGUCCCUAGGAAUUUAGAUUUAUAAAUGCCUAGAAUGUCUCAAAGGAAAGCUUAUCUUAAAUAUUAGAUUACUACUUUUUAAAAUACUUGUUGUUGCUGUUGUUUUACUGUAAAACUUCUGGUAUAAAAUAGGUUUAUUUUUCUGGCUGGGCACAGUGGCUCAUACCUGUAAUCCCAGCACUUUGGGAGGCUGAGGCAGGCAGAUCUCUUGAGCUCAUGAGUUCAAGACCAGCCUAGGCAACAUGGCGAAAUCCUGUCUCUACAAAAUAUACAAAAAUUAGCCGAGCGUCGUGGUGUGCAUCUGUAGUCCCAGCUACUCAGGAGGCUGAAGAUGGGAAGAUGGCUUGAGCCUGGGAGGCAGAGGUUGCAGUAAGCCAAGAUGGCACCACUGCACUGCAGCCUAGGCAAUAGAGCCAAAUUUUGUCAAAAAAUAAUAAUAAUAAUAAUUUUUCUAAUAUUGGAAUUAUAAAAGGCUUUUCUUUGGAUAACACUAACCUAAUACCAUAGUAAAAGACAGAUAGGAUUAACUACAUAAACAUUUUAAAACUCCUACAUGCAAAAGAUACUACAAAAUGAAUACAAAUGACAAAGAGAUAAAUAAUACUUGCAAAGUCUAUGUAAAGGUUUACAUAAUACACAAGAAGCUCCUAUUUAAAACCAAAAGAAAAAAGAAAAAAAAACCCACUCCACAGAAAUAUGAGUAAAGGACAUAACAGACAAAAUCCACAGUGAAAGAAAUACAAGAACUAAUAAAACGUGAAAUGUUGCUCAGCCUUACUAAUAAUAAAACUGUAAGCUUAAAAAUUAGGAGACAUCAUUCCUCACCUAGCAAAUUGGCAAAGAUUUAAAAGCUUAAUAAUAACCAGUGUGAGAGAAGGUCACAGUACUCUAUACAUGAUUAAUGGUGAUAUAAAUAGUUACCCUCUUUCUGGGGAGAAGUUUAAGAAUUUGUAUCAAAAUGUAAAAGGUGUAUUCUUUUAACCCAGCAGUUCUUACCCUGAGAAUAUCCAACAGCAAUACAGUUUUGUUUUUAAUAAGGACAAAUUGAGAGAAAACUAAAUUUCCAUAAACAGAAGAUUGGUUAAGUAAUUGCUUAAAUAAUAGGAAGCACUAUGCAACUGUUAAAAAGUAAGAGCAAUCUGUAUUUAAUGACAUGGGCUAUGCAUAACUAAAAUAUACCAUCAACUAAAAACAGUAGUUUACAAAACAGGAUUAUGAUGGAAUCCUGUUCAUGUCAAUCGUUGUGUGUGUGUGAUGUAAACUGUGUGUGCACAAGCACGUGUGUGCAUGUUUGUGUAGAUGAGGUUGUGAGGAAUAUGUAC